rnacentral:rRNA from 1 species
AGGGUUUGAUCAUGGCUCAGAACGUACGCUGGCGGCACGCCUAACACAUGCAAGUCGAACGAAGUAGCAAUACUUAGUGGCAGACGGGUGAGUAACAUGUGGGUAUCUGCCCUUUGGCCUGGAAUAACACGAGGAAACUUGUGCUAAUACCGGAUAAGUCUUUACGGAGAAAGCUUUAUGCACCAUUGGAUGAGCCCGCACUUGAUUAGUUUGUUGGUGGGGUAAUGGCUUACCAAGACUGUGAUCAAUAGCUGAUUUGAGAGGAUGAUCAGCCACAUUGGGACUGAGACACGGCCCAAACUCCUACGGGAGGCAGCAGUGGGGAAUCUUGCACAAUGGAGGAAACUCUGAUGCAGCGAUGCCGCGUGAGUGAAGAAGGCCCUUGGGUUGUAAAGCUCUUUCGUCGGGGAAGAAAAUGACUGUACCCGAAUAAGAAGGUCCGGCUAACUUCGUGCCAGCAGCCGCGGUAAUACGAAGGGACCUAGCGUAGUUCGGAAUUACUGGGCUUAAAGAGUUCGUAGGUGGUUGAAAAAGUUGGUGGUGAAAUCCCAGAGCUUAACUCUGGAACUGCCAUCAAAACUUUUCAGCUAGAGUUUGAUAGAGGAAAGCAGAAUUUCUAGUGUAGAGGUGAAAUUCGUAGAUAUUAGAAAGAAUACCAAUUGCGAAGGCAGCUUUCUGGAUCAUUACUGACGCUGAGGAACGAAAGCAUGGGUAGCGAAGAGGAUUAGAUACCCUCGUAGUCCAUGCCGUAAACGAUGUGUGUUAGACGUUGGAAAUUUAUUUUCAGUGUCGCAGCGAAAGCGAUAAACACACCGCCUGGGGAGUACGACCGCAAGGUUAAAACUCAAAUGAAUUGACGGGGACCCGCACAAGUAGUGGAGCAUGUGGUUUAAUUCGAAGAUACGCGCAGAACCUUACCAACACUUGACAUGUUCGUCGCGACUUUAAGAGAUUAAAGUUUUCGGUUCGGCCGGACGAAACACAGGUGCUGCAUGGCUGUCGUCAGCUCGUGUCGUGAGAUGUUGGGUUAAGUCCCGCAACGAGCGCAACCCUCACUUUUAGUUGCCAUCAUUAAGUUGGGCACUCUGAAAGAACUGCCAGUGAUAAGCUGGAGGAAGGUGGGGAUGACGUCAAGUCCUCAUGGCCCUUACGUGUUGGGCUACACACGUGCUACAAUGGUAUCUACAACAGGAAGCGAAACAGCGAUGUUAAGCAAAUCCUUAAAAGAUACCUCAGUUCGGAUUGCACUCUGCAACUCGAGUGCAUGAAGCUGGAAUUACUAGUAAUCGUGGAUCAGCGUGCCACGGUGAAUGCGUUCCCGGGUCUUGUACACACCGCCCGUCACACCAUGGGAGUUGGUUCUACCUUAAGGCAAGGUUUAAUACCCUUGACCACGGUAUAGUCAGCGACUGGGGUGAAGUCAUAACAAGGUAACCGUA